UGGGGAAUAUUGGACAAUGGGCGCAAGCCUGAUCCAGCAAUGCCGCGUGGGUGAAGAAGGUCUUCGGAUUGUAAAGCCCUUUCGGCGGGGACGAUGAUGACGGUACCCGCAGAAGAAGCCCCGGCUAACUUCGUGCCAGCAGCCGCGGUAAUACGAAGGGGGCUAGCGUUGCUCGGAAUGACUGGGCGUAAAGGGCGCGUAGGCGGAUCUUGCAGUCAGGGCGUGAAAUUCCUGGGCUUAACCUGGGGGCUGCGCUUGAGACGCAGGGUCUGGAGUUCGGAAGAGGGUCGUGGAAUUCCCAGUGUAGAGGUGAAAUUCGUAGAUAUUGGGAAGAACACCGGUGGCGAAGGCGGCGACCUGGUCCUGGACUGACGCUGAGGCGCGAAAGCGUGGGGAGCAAACAGGAUUAGAUACCCUGGUAGUCCACGCCGUAAACGAUGUGCGCUGGAUGUUGGGCGGCCUAGCCGCGCAGUGUCGGAGCUAACGCGUUAAGCGCACCGCCUGGGGAGUACGGCCGCAA
rnacentral:rRNA from 1 species